rnacentral:rRNA from 1 species
GAUGAACGCUGGCGGCGUGCCUAAUACAUGCAAGUCGAGCGAACAGACGAGGAGCUUGCUCCUCUGACGUUAGCGGCGGACGGGUGAGUAACACGUGGAUAACCUACCUAUAAGACUGGGAUAACUUCGGGAAACCGGAGCUAAUACCGGAUAAUAUAUUGAACCGCAUGGUUCAAUAGUGAAAGACGGUUUUGCUGUCACUUAUAGAUGGAUCCGCGCCGCAUUAGCUAGCUGGUAAGGUAACGGCUUACCAAGGCAACGAUGCGUAGCCGACCUGAGAGGGUGAUCGGCCACACUGGAACUGAGACACGGUCCAGACUCCUACGGGAGGCAGCAGUAGGGAAUCUUCCGCAAUGGGCGAAAGCUUGACGGAGCAACGCCGCGUGAGUGAUGAAGGUCUUCGGAUCGUAAAACUCUGUUAUUAGGGAAGAACAAAUGUGUAAGUAACUAUGCACGUCUUGACGGUACCUAAUCAGAAAGCCACGGCUAACUACGUG